rnacentral:rRNA from 1 species
GGGGAAUUUUGGACAAUGGGGGCAACCCUGAUCCAGCAACGCCGCGUGAAUGAAGAAGGCCCUAGGGUUGUAAAGUUCUUUUGUCAGGGAAGAAAAGGUUUGUGCUAAUAUCAUAAACUGCUGACGGUACCUGAAGAAUAAGCACCGGCUAACUACGUGCCAGCAGCCGCGGUAAUACGUAGGGUGCAAGCGUUAAUCGGAAUUACUGGGCGUAAAGCGUGCGCAGGCGGAUAUGUAAGUUAGAAGUGAAAUCCCCGGGCUCAACCUGGGAAUGGCUUUUAAGACUGCGUAUCUAGAGUUUGUCAGAGGGGGGUGGAAUUCCAAGUGUAGCAGUGAAAUGCGUAGAGAUUUGGAGGAACACCAAUGGCGAAGGCAACCCCCUGGGAUAAAACUGACGCUCAUGCACGAAAGCGUGGGUAGCAAAC